UGUGACCGUUCUGACCGCUCUCCUGAUAAGAUAAUGAAAAAGUAGAAAAUGAAGUCCCGGUAGCCGAACCUCACUGACAACCUAGAAACGGUUAUAAUACAAUUCAUGGAAGAACAAGGAGAAUUGUUGAGAGGACGUUUGGCAUAUGGAAACGUAGAUUUCCGUGUCUGUCAAAAGGACUUGGCACAAAAUUGUUAACGUCCACAUCAAUCGUUGUGGCAUGUGCUGUUCUUCACAACCUUUCAUUAAUUUUAAAUGAUAAGUUGGAAGAAGAUGAUGAAGAAGUAGAAAAUGUCAAUAAUAAAGUCCCGGUGGCCGAGCCUCACUGGCAACCUGGAGAUGGUUUUCUCGCACGAGAUGCUCUUAUCGAACGACUGUUCAGAUAGACAAUUCUUCUUUUCGUACAUCUUUUUCUUGUUCCUCUCCACUGCAAUCAUUAACGUAUCAUCUUUCUCUGUAGAAAUACAUGGAUCUGUAAAGCAUAAACACAAUACGUGCUUUUUAUAUACA